UAGUUGGGAUCUAAUGGAGAGAAGGAGACUGUUAGAAAUGGGGGUGUGUAUUCUGGUAGAUAGUGGGGUGUCAAGAUGAUCUACUGUCUCACAACAGGCUCUGUCAUAUGAUCACCUCAGAAAGUCUCAGUGUGAUGGCGACGGCUUUGACAUCAACCUCUGUUUCUGGGAAGUUCUGACAUCAUCUGGAGAAGAGCCCAGAAGCACAGUGUCUCAAACCGCCAAGGCAUGAGUACUUCAUUUGAGAUGUUUGGCCCUAAAGCUUCCCAGCUGACCCAACCAAGGGAAGAAGAAUAGUUCAUCAGCCACAGAUGCCUUCUGGGAUAUGCAACCCCUCUGGGGUUAAGUUGCUGUAGUUCCUUGAACUGAGAUCAUUUCAGGAAUUCAUCCUGGAGGCUGGAUUAUGAAAGUCUACACAGCUGAGGAUGGCCCUGAACUUCUUAUCCCUCUGCCUCUGCUUCCUGAGUGACAACAUUAUAGGUAUGUACUAUGCCCAGUGUAUGCGGUGUUGUGGAUCAAACCCAAGGCUUUGUGCAUGCUAGGAAGCACGCUAUCAAUUGAGAUACAUCUCUGUCUCCAGACCCUAAAUUCUCAACUUAGUCAUUUGAGUAAAAUAAAAACAGAGAUGUUCCAACAUAAA